rnacentral:lncRNA from 1 species
GAGUGAGAAUAGACUUUAAGAGAUCAGGGGAAGAAACAAGGAGACCAGCUGGGAGGCUGUUGCAGUAGUCAGAUUUCUUGAGUAUGGGAUGUGGGAGAAGAAGGAGGAGUCAAGGUUGACUUCAAGGUUUUUGACUUCAGCAGUUGGAACGAUGGAGCUGCCAUCAACAGAGAUGGGCAAGAUUGGAGGAGAACCAGGUUCUUGGCUGAGACCCCCCCUGUAACGAAAAAUCACCAGGAGAAAAACAGAAGUUUAACAGCAUGUAUACCUCCUGUAUACACGGGAGAGGCCCAGGAAAACUGAGUAAC